CAACUAAUUAUAAAUAGAGGAAAACUAAAUCAAGUUAAAAGAAUACAUUUUUAAAGCGACAUUAUAACUUUUUAUUUUUUUUUCUUAAAUAAUGAGAACUUUUUAAGAUUAGUUUUCUGCAAAACUUUAAAUGUUAGUUUUAAAAUAUGUUUUGUUAUACUGGGUACUUCUUAAAUACUCUACUUCUCUGGUAUGGAUUAUUUGUCCUUUGAAAUGUUUGUUCAGGUUCGAGACCAGCCUGGGCAACAUAGUGAGACCCUGUUUUUACAAAAAAAUACAAAAGUUAGCUGGGUGUGGUGGCACACGUGCCUGUAGUCCCAGCUACUAGGGAGGCUGAGGUGGGAGGAUCACUUGAGCCCGGGAGGUUGAGGCUGCAGUGAGCUGAGAUUGCACCACUGCACUCCAGGCUGGGUGACAGAGAGAGACCAUGUCUCAAAAGAAAAAGAAAAAGAAAAAGAAAAAUGUUUGUUCUGUCUUAAGACUUCUAAAUAGGUUAAAGGCCAGGAAAACAAUAAAUGUAAAGUAAUCUUAUGGUUUGUUUAUUCAUCUCUUCAGACUCCACACUCAUGAAUUAAUAUUACAGAUAAAUGCUCCUAUGUCCGUCUGGUAAGCAAGUGAUAGCUUUUGAGCCUCAGCUUCUACAUAAUACAUCUGGGUUAUUUAUAAAUUGAAUUUGUCACACACAAAUGAUGUUUCAUGAGAAAGAAGAUUCAAUGAUUUGUAAAUCUCUCCUUUCUAUCCCCACAGCCACUGCCCAGACACUUUACUUCAAAUUUGGCUUUAUUUUCAUCAUUGAUAUUGAUUAAAAUGACAUUCACUUGCCCGGAAAGUAAAAGAGGUCUUCAGCACAAAAUAUUGCUCCAACAAGCAAGCAUAAAUCACUGAGAUUGAAAUGUCAUCUAUCUUUAUUGGCCAACCACAUAAUCUCCAUGAAAAUUCUCAACAGAGAGCAAGGAACUCACUUUCUUCUAAGCAAAGACAAUUUGGAUUUGCCUCGUGGCACUGGCAUCUCUUCAUGUCUGGACGUCAGAUGUUAGCUUGGUGCCUUUCUCCCUUAUCAGGGGGACAUUUUGAACCCAGCCGCACCAAUGUUCUCAUGGAUGGUGGCCUUCGAUUCUUCUAGAUUCAAGAUUUGGCUCUUGUACUUUUCCUGCCAGUCCUCUACAAUGUACUGGUGGUAGGGGUCAUUGGAGUGUUCCCGUCUCUUGGAUUUCACAGUGCUCACCAGGAUGGCCACGAUGAUGAAAGAGAACAUUCCAAUCAUCACCAUGAGGUACAGGAUGACAUAGUAGAAGUUCUCAGCAUCAACUUUGGCUUGGAGGGCCUCUUGCUCAGCUGUUGUGUUCUGGCGCCAAUUGUCCAUAUAAGUAAUAAAAAUCCUUCGGAAGACGUCUUCCAGCGUCUGUGUGAAAUUGGAUAAAGUAGACAUGCUUCCCUCCUGCUGCAAUUUAAAUAAUAAAAUAGGCGAACAAGGUUAGGAAAACGGAUCUUUUCUGGAUUUGGCUAUGUAAAGGUGGGAGGGAGAUGCCAGGGUAUAAGUAAUAGUAUUUCUUCUUAACCUGGCUGGUGAUUUAAUGCAUAUUUUGUUAGUCUUUAAACUGACUGCGUACAUUUUAUUCACUUUUUUUACAAUCCAUGAUUGUUACACAGUAAAAAUUUAAAUGGCAGAGAAAAUUAUAUAUAUACACUUUGAUAUUUAUAUAUGCAUGUAAAUAAAUGUAUGUGUACAUAUGAAAAUGGAGAAAAUAUUAGAAGUACAUAGAUCAGAAUGUUAACAGUGGGUGGUGUGCUUAAAGAUAUGUAUUUUCUUCUUUAUGCUUUUCUCAUAUUCCAAAUUUUCAUCAGCAGUCUUGCAUUACUUUUGUUUUUUAAAAAAUUGGUAACCUUACAAGAGCUAGAAUAAUGCCACAUUCAUAACAAGCACUCAACAAACGUCAGUGGAAUGGACCAAUGACUCAUUUAUGUUCUCUGUUUUUAGAGAAUUGUGGGGCAUUAUGAGAUAACAUCAAGAGAAAAGAUUGCAGGGGGCAUUGACAGACUCUCCAAUUUGUUCCAUCCCCUAUGUCUAAGUGGCACAUUGUCCCAAGUAUCCUAAAGGGAGGGGUGUGUACAUCUAUAUUUGAAAGAAGCAUUUUAGGUAAGUGAUGCCAAGAAACAAUCUGAGAGAUUAUUCCUAUGUUUCAAAUCCAUCUCUCCUUUUCAUCACCACUGGCACCGCCCAGCCUCCAGCAUCUCUCACCUGGAUAAUACAAUGCCAACAAUGUAAUACAACACAACCCUCCCCAGAGCCAUCUCUUUGGGGUUAUAUGUGCCCCUCUCUGCCUUGAAUAGCCAUCAAUGUGCCCUUUUUUUUUUCUUAAGACGGAAUCUUGCUCUGUCGUCCAGGCUGGAGUGGGGUGGCACGAUCUCUGCUCACUGAAACCUCCGCCUCCCCAGUUCAAGCAAUUCUCAUGCCUCAGCCUCCCAAGUAGCUGGGAUUACAGGCACAUGUCACCACGCCUGGCUAACUUUUGUAUUUUUGGUAGAGACGGGGUUUCAACACAUUGGCCAGGCUGGUCUCGAACUCCUGACUUCAGGUGAUCCACCCGCCUCAGCCUCCCAAAGUGCUGGGAUUACAUGUGUCAGCCACCGUGCACAGCCAAUGUGCCUUUUUGAAGAGGGAAAUUAUAGUGCAAUUUGUUUGCUUUUAAAAUGAUGCGAUGGUUGUUCUUAAAAUCAAGUCCUAAUUCCUUAACAGUAUUUACCCCAUUGGCUGAGCAGGCUCCUGACCACCUCCUCAGUUACCCUUUGCUCACUACAGUUCGGUCACACCUGACAUCUUCCCUCCCUGUCAGUAAGCUCUCUUUCCUCGGGACAUUAUCACAUCCUAUUCUCUCAACCUAGAAUGCCUUUGCCUUUCUCUUCCACCUGCUACCUCCUCGUUCUUUAGGUUCCAGCUAGUUGUCACUUCUGAGACUUCCCUGGUUCUACUCUAAAUCACUUCCCACCACCACCACCAUUUUCCUCCAACAGCAUCUCCUUUUUCUUCAAAAGCACACAUCACAUAUGCAGUCACUAAAUGUGUGUGUAUAUAUUCAUAUUACUUUUGUUUAAAAAAAAUUGGUAACCUCACACCAGCUAGAAUAAUGCCAUAUUUAUAACAAGCACUCAACAAAUGUCAGUUAAAUGGAGCAAUGACUCAUUUAUAUUCUGUUUUCAGAGAAUUAUAUACGUGUGCUUUUUUAUACAUCUCUGUUUUUAGAGAAUUGUGGGGCUUUAGACAUAACAUCAAGGCAAACGAUUGCAAGGCAAAAAUUUUUUGUUUUUUUGAGACGGAGUCUCGCUCUGUCACCCAGGCUGGAGUGCAGUGGCGCGAUCUUGGCUCACUGCAACCUCUGCCUCCCAGGUUCAAGUGAUUCUCCUGUCUCAGCCUCCCAAGUAGCUGGGACUACAGGCAACCGCCACUACGCCUGGCUAAUGUUUUGUAUUUUUAGUAGAGACGGGGUUUCGCCAUGUUAGCCAGGAUGGUCUCGAUCUCGUGACCUCGUGAUCCACCUGCCUCGGCCUCCCAAAGUGCUGAGAUUACAGGUGUGAGCCACCGCUCCCGGCCAAGAUUUUUUAAUACAUACAUACAUACAUAUAUAUAACAUACAUAUAUAUAACAUACAUAUAUAUAUAUAUAUAUAUAUAUAUAUAUAUUGUGUGUGUGUGUGUGUGUGUGUGUGUGUGUGAUUAUUGGUUUAGGGGCUCAUCUUUUCCACUCGGCUGUCAUGUCUGCCAACUUUGUCUAGCUCGGUAUAGCAGAUGUCUAACACAUAGAAGGCACUCAAUGGACAUUUGAUGCAUGAAUUAAAGUGCCAGGUACUAUGCUAGGCGAUGAAACUGCAGAGGUGACAGGAACUCUGUGAGAGGCUCAGUUGAAUGGGAGAGACCAAAUCAAUGACAAUGCAACGUGCAAAGAGUUGCAACAGGUAUGGACAAAAAGAUAAGGGGGCUCAGAAAAUGGAGCUGAACACGGUUCAUAGAUGGGGCAAGUGGGUUUCAACACAGCUAGAAGGAGCACAGGCAGGAGGUAAACCUGUGACUAGCCACUAGUAAAAGCCCCAGGAUCCCAGCAGUGGGUUUGCCUGCUGCCGUUCUAAAGACAUGCCCGUCUCUUUAGCAUGUGACUUUUCUUUCCUUCAUGAAAAGAGAAUCAGAUCUCCCCAUCUGGGAAAGGAAUUUCAAUCAGCUGAAUAAUCAAACCUACUAAACAAAUAAACUUGCAGGCAUUCUCCCACAGAACAUCCCUCCCCAGGAUUUUCCUCAUUGAGAAUUACCAUCACCAAGAUAAUAUACUCUUCUCUGUCUGAUGUUUUAAGUUCUAUUAUUUAGAGAGCUCUAAGAUCUUUGUCUCCCUCUCCUGGCCACACAGGCUAGUGGGUUGGAAGGAAACUUAACAAAUAGAUAAGAUUGCCCCAGGGUAUAUACCAAGCAUAUUUCCUAAGCAAUGUAACAGAGAUGUGCUUUUUCCCCUUUAAAAUGAUAUAGUCUGCUGUGAAAGUUAGCUGAGCUGGCUUUAAUCCACUCAAGACUUUGCCACUGGCUCUUUUACCCUUUUAUUUUCAUUUUAUUUUUUAUUAACUCUUUUUUAAAAUAAAAAAGUAGUGAUGAGGUCUCACUAUGUUGUUAAACUCCUAGGCUCAAGUGAUCCCCCUGCUUCAGCCUCCCAAGGUGCUGGGAUUACAGGUUUGAGCCACCAUGCCAGACUUUUUUUUUUUUUUUUUUUUGAGAUGGGGUCUGGCUCUGUGAGUAUAGUCUUUUUCUCUUGUAGGAAGCCCAGCCGGUUGUUACCAAUCCAUAGUACUUUCCCUGACCUCCCCAGGUCUAGGCAGAGACCCUUUUUCUGCCCCUUCUGCAAAUGACCAUGUUAGUUUUGUUUUUUUCCUUUUUUUUUUUUUUUUUUUUUUUUUUUGAGAUGGAGUCUCUUUUGCCCAGGCUGGAGUGCAGUGGCGCGAUCUCGGCUUACUGCAAGCUCUGCCUCCCGGGUUUACGCCAUUCUCCUGCCUCAGCCUCCUGAGUAGCUGGGUCUACAGGCACCCGCCACGAAGCCCGGCUAAUUUUUUGUAUUUUUAGUACAGACGGGGUUUCACCAUGUUAGCCAGGAUGGUCUCGAUCUCCUGACCUCGUGAUCCGCCCACCUUGGCCUCCCAAAGUGCUGGGAUUACAGGCGUGAGCCACCGUGCCCGGCCUUGUUUUCGUUUUUGAAUUACCCAUGUAUUGUGUGCUUAUUCAUGUGAUCCUCAAAACCACUCUAUAAACUCCUACCUUCAGGAUGUUUAGUGAGAUUCAGUAACUGAGUCCCGAUGACAGGAGAGCUUGAGCCCCCGGAAGGCAGGGAUUGCUUUACUCAUCUCUGAAUCCCGGGACCCUACACAGCGAUGGGCAAACUCAGCCAGGAGGAACACUUUGGUGGUGUAACUGUGUUCACCAUGCCUCUGCAGAAAUGGAAGCAAAACGUUCAAGUAAGAAUUCCGCUAGGAGACGGUGCCACCUGCUGGUGGGAACAGGGAACUGAGGCCAAUCUUCUAACUCAGCCCUUGCGGUUUAACUUCACUCUUGAAUUCUGGCGCCGAGGAGAGGGGAAUCAAAGCAGCGUGUUGUGCUUUGGUAAUUAAAGGCAGAACUGGACGGCGAUGUGUCAUGGAGGCUGGCAAACCAG
rnacentral:lncRNA from 1 species